GUACUUGAGCUUAAUGCUGCCAUAAACGAGUCCAAAAGAGAAAGCAGAUGCACGAGCCACCUAUUACAGUAAUAAUUGCAAUAUGAAUCAAUUUAAAAAAAAGGAGAUUAAAAAAAAAUAAAGAAAAUAAAUUACAAGAGCGAGAGUGCUGGUGCCGGAGUAAGGUCCAGGAGGAGGCGCCAUCGAUUCGCUUUGUUUGAGAAAUUUGGGCGACGGAGUUUCAGAUCAG